AUUGAACGCUGGCGGCAGGCCUAACACAUGCAAGUCGAACGAGUGGCGGACGUGUGAGUAAUGUCUGGGAAACUGCCUGAUGGAGGGGGAUAACUACUGGAAACGGUAGCUAAUACCGCAUACCAUCAGAUGUGCCCAGAUGGGAUAAGCUGGUUGGUGGGGUAACGGCUCACAAAGGCGACGAUCCCUAGCUGGUCUGAGAGGAUUACCAGCCAAACUGGAACUGAAAAACGGUCCAGACUCCUACGGGAGGCAGCAGUGGGGAUUAUUGCACAAUGGGCGCAAGCCUGAUGCAGCCAUGCCGCGAGUAUGAAGAAGGCCAUAGGGUUGUAAAGUACUUUCAGCGGGGAGGCGUUACACGCAGAAGAAGCACCGGCUAACUCCGUGCCAGCAGCCGCGGUAAUUC
rnacentral:rRNA from 1 species